rnacentral:rRNA from 1 species
UACGUAGGGAGCAAGCGUUGUCCGGAAUCAUUGGGCGUAAAGCGCGCGUAGGCGGCCCCGUAAGUCCGCUGUGAAAGUCAAAGGCUCAACCUUUGAAAGCCAGUGGAUACUGUGGGGCUAGAGUCCGGAAGAGGCGAGUGGAAUUCCUGGUGUAGCGGUGGAAUGCGCAGAUAUCAGGAGGAACACCAAUAGCGAAGGCAGCUCGCUGGGACGGUACUGACGCUAAGGCGCGAAAGCGUGGGGAGCGAACAGG